rnacentral:misc_RNA from 1 species
GAUGAAGAACGUAGCGAAAUGCGAUACGUAAUGUGAAUUGCAGAAUUCAGUGAAUCAUCGAGUCUUUGAACGCACAUUGCGCCCUCUGGUACUCCGGAGGGCAUGCCUGUCCGAGCGUCAUUGCUGCCCUCAAGCACGGCUUGUGUGUUGGGCCCCGUCCUCCUUCCGGGGGACGGGUCCGAAAGGCAGCGGCGGCACCGCGUCCGGUCCUCAAGCGUAUGGGGCUUUGUCACUCGCUUUGUAGGCCUGGCCGGCGCUUGCCGAUCAACCAAACUUUUUAUCAGGUUGACCUCGGAUCAGGUAGGGAUACCCGCUGAACUUAAGCAUAUCAAUAAGCGGAGGA